CCACUCUCAGGGUCGCACCUGGAGAGUUUCCGGUACUCUACCAGUCAAGAGGGAGACAGGAGGGAGAGUCAAGUAGAGGCAUACCCAUUCCAUUCCUAGCUUGGGCAGUGGCUAGUGAGUGGAAGGCAAUCUGCUACAAGU